CCUACGGGCGGGCAGCAGUGGGGAAUAUUGGACAAUGGGGGGAACCCUGAUCCAGCCAUGCCGCGUGUGUGAAGAAGGCCCUCGGGUUGUAAAGCACUUUCAGUGAGGAAGAACGCCUGGUGGUUAAUACCCAUCAGGAAAGACAUCACUCACAGAAGAAGCACCGGCUAACUCCGUGCCAGCAGCCGCGGUAAUACGGAGGGUGCGAGCGUUAAUCGGAAUUACUGGGCGUAAAGCGCGCGUAGGUGGCUUGAUAAGCCGGUUGUGAAAGCCCCGGGCUCAACCUGGGAACGGCAUCCGGAACUGUCAAGCUAGAGUGCAGGAGAGGAAGGUAGAAUUCCCGGUGUAGCGGUGAAAUGCGUAGAGAUCGGGAGGAAUACCAGUGGCGAAGGCGGCCUUCUGGACUGACACUGACACUGAGGUGCGAAAGCGUGGGUAGCAAACAGGAUUAGAUACCCGUGUAGUC
rnacentral:rRNA from 1 species